UCAACAAAUUGUAUUAGCCUGCAUUCAAGUGCAGCAUUAAUCUUACAUUCUGGAAAUUGCUGUAUUACUGAACACGUUCUUCUCUUUUUCUUUCUUUGCAUGCCAUGGUUUGAGGUGCCAUGAUGGUGAAUAUGUUGUCACAGUGGCAAACAUGUGUUGUGGAAGAUAUUCUGAAAAGUCCAACUGAAAACAGCAACAACAAAUACAUACAUGCUGCAUACAUAACUGCAAAACAAUGAACAACAUAAUCACAACACAAGACAUCAUCAUUACGUUGUUUCUUGUCAUUCAGUUUGGUCAUUAGGCAAACGGCACGUU
ensembl:lncRNA